rnacentral:rRNA from 1 species
UACGGAGGGAGCUAGCGUUGUCCGGAAUCAUUGGGCGUAAAGCGCGCGUAGGUGGCUUCGUAAGUCCGUUGUGAAAGUCAAAGGCUCAACCUUUGAAAGCCGAUGGAUACUGCGGAGCUAGAGUACGGAAGAGGCGAGUGGAAUUCCUGGUGUAGCGGUGGAAUGCGCAGAUAUCAGGAGGAACACCAAUAGCGAAGGCAGCUCGCUGGGACGUUACUGACACUGAGGCGCGAAAGCGUGGGGAGCGAACAGG